rnacentral:lncRNA from 1 species
GUCCGCCGCCUUCAACCCCCCGUCCGCCGCCUUCACCUCCCCGUCCGCCGCCUCCUCCUCCCAGUCCGCCACCUUCUCCCCCCACUCCGCCGCCUUUACCUCCCAGUCCGCCGCCUUCACCUCCUACUCCGCCGCCUUCAUCCCCCCGUCCGCCGCCUUCACCUCCCAGUCCGCCGCCUUCACCUCCCCAUCCGCCGCCUUCACCUCCCCGCCCGCCGCCUUCACCUCCCCCUCCACCGCCUUCUCCUCCCAGUUCGCCGCCUUCACCUCCCCCCCGUCCGCCGCCUUCUCCUCCCACUCCGCCGCCUUCACCUCCCAUUCCGCUGCCUUCGCCUCCCCGGCCUCCGCCUCCACCGCGCCCG